GAUGAACGCUGGCGGCGUGCUUAACACAUGCAAGUCGAGCGAAGCGCUUAAGAAUGAUUCUUCGGAUGAAUUCUUUUGCGACUGAGCGGCGGACGGGUGAGUAACGCGUGGAUAACCUGCCUCAUACAGGGGGAUAACAGUUAGAAAUGACUGCUAAUACCGCAUAAGCGCACAGUGCCGCAUGGCACCGUGUGAAAAACUCCGGUGGUAUGGGAUGGAUCCGCGUUGGAUUAGGCAGUUGGCGGGGUAACGGCCCACCAAACCGACGAUCCAUAGCCGGCCUGAGGGGGUGGACGGCCACAUUGGGACUGAGACACGGCCCAAACUCCUACGGGAGGCAGCAGUGGGGAAUAUUGCACAAUGGGGGAAACCCUGAUGCAGCGACGCCGCGUGAGUGAAGAAGUAAUUCGUUAUGUAAAGCUCUAUCAGCAGGGAAGAAAAUGACGGUACCUGACUAAGAAGCACCGGCUAAAUACGUGCCAGCCGCCGCGGUAACAC
rnacentral:rRNA from 1 species